GCUAUGUCAGAAGGGUUCAGCAGUGCCGUUU
rnacentral:piRNA from 1 species